rnacentral:rRNA from 1 species
AGGUAAGCUACUAAGAGCGAAUGGUGGAUGCCUUGACUGGUAAAGGCGAUGAAGGACGUACUAGACUGCGAUAAGCUACGGGGAGCUGUCAAGAAGCUUUGAUCCGUAGAUUUCCGAAUGGGGCAACCCAAUGUAUAGAGAUAUACAUUACCUAUAUAGGAGCGAACGAGGGGAAUUGAAACAUCUUAGUACCCUCAGGAAAAGAAAUCAAUAGAGAUUGCGUCAGUAGCGGCGAGCGAAAGCGCAAGAGGGCAAACCCAGUGCUUGCACUGGGGGUUGUAGGACUGCAAUGUGCAAGAGGUAAGUUUAGCAGAACAUUCUGGAAAGUAUAACCAUAGAGGGUGAUAGUCCCGUAUGCGAAAAACAAACCUUAGCUAGCAGUAUCCUGAGUAGGGCGGGACACGAGGAAUCCUGUCUGAAUCCGGGUCGACCACGAUCCAACCCUAAAUACUAAUACCAGAUCGAUAGUGCACAAGUACCGUGAGGGAAAGGUGAAAAGAACUGAGGUGAUCAGAGUGAAACAGAACCUGAAACCAUUUGCUUACAAUCAUUCAGAGCCCUAUGUAGCAAUACAGGGUGAUGGACUGCCUUUUGCAUAAUGAGCCUGCGAGUUGUGGUGUCUGGCAAGGUUAAGCAAACGCGAAGCCGUAGCGAAAGCGAGUCUGAAUAGGGCGCUUAGUCAGAUGCUGCAGACCCGAAACGAAGUGAUCUAUCCAUGAGCAAGUUGAAGCUAGUGUAAGAACUAGUGGAGGACUGAACCCAUAGGCGUUGAAAAGCCCCGGGAUGACUUGUGGAUAGGGGUGAAAGGCCAAUCAAACUUCGUGAUAGCUGGUUCUCUCCGAAAUAUAUUUAGGUAUAGCGUUGUGUCGUAAUAUAAGGGGGUAGAGCACUGAAUGGGCUAGGGCAUACACCAAUGUACCAAACCCUAUCAAACUCCGAAUACCUUAUAUGUAAUCACAGCAGUCAGGCGGCGAGUGAUAAAAUCCGUCGUCAAGAGGGAAACAACCCAGACUACCAGCUAAGGUCCCUAAAUCUUACUUAAGUGGAAAACGAUGUGAAGUUACUUAAACAACCAGGAGGUUGGCUUAGAAGCAGCCAUCCUUUAAAGAAAGCGUAAUAGCUCACUGGUCUAGUGAUUUUGCGCGGAAAAUAUAACGGGGCUAAAGUAAGUACCGAAGCUGUAGACUUAGUUUACUAAGUGGUAGGAGAGCGUUCUAUUUGCGUCGAAGGUAUACCGGUAAGGAGUGCUGGAGCGAAUAGAAGUGAGCAUGCAGGCAUGAGUAGCGAUAAUUAAUGUGAGAAUCAUUAACGCCGUAAACCCAAGGUUUCCUACGCGAUGCUCGUCAUCGUAGGGUUAGUCGGGUCCUAAGUCGAGUCCGAAAGGGGUAGACGAUGGCAAAUUGGUUAAUAUUCCAAUACCAA